rnacentral:rRNA from 1 species
CAGCAGCCGCGGUAAGGCAGAGGAUGCAAGCGUUAUCCUAAAUGAUUGGGCAUAAAGCAUCUGUAGGUGGCUUUUCAAGUCCGCCGUCAAAUCCCAGGGCUCAACCCUGGACAGGCGGUGGAAACUACCAAGCUGGAGUACGGUAGGGGCAAAGGGAAUUUCCGGUGGAGCGGUGAAAUGCGUUGAGAUUGGAAAGAACACCAACGACGAAAGCACUCUGCUGGGCCGACACUGACAUUGAGAGACGAACGCUAGGGGAGCAAAUGGGAUUAGAUACCCCCGUAGUCCCUGUCUCUUAUAC